rnacentral:snRNA from 1 species
GGCUGUGAGGGCAAUCUGGCUGUGAUACCCAACAACCCACAGACCUCAGGGUUGUUUUGGCUGAUCUGGCUGUCUAGGCAGUGUUCCCAUCCUCCCCCACCACUCCAUGUGCAUCUGUCCCACGGCUGUGUACUCCAUGGAAUAGGACAACCUUCCCUGACAGAGGAAGACCAUUCUUUGGUCAAGGGCAUAGAAAUAUCUGCCCUCUCCUGCUCGAAUGGCUAAAGGAGCUCUCAAGGUCCAUUUGUAGGAGAGCGUAGGGUAGUCAAGCUUCCAAGACUCCAGACACAUCCAAAUGAGGGACUGCACAUGGCAGUCGGCCUUACAUU